ACUUCAAAUAAAUAAUUCUAACCCUAACCCUAAAUAUAAUUCAAUAACUUAUUAUUUCACACUUUUUAAAGUUAAAAAAAUUAUAAUUUAUAAAGUAUGGCCAUAUGAUAUGGAUCUUCAUUCGCAAUCUUUAUCCAUCGUAAUAAAAAUGAAUAUUAUUAUUCUGGAUUUCAAGGAUAAGAUUUAGACGACAAAUUAAUUCUGACGAUCUGGAACAGCAUUUAAUUCUUCAGGCGCUGAUAAUAUUACGGGUGACGAUCCGAAUAGCCGAUUAUAGAAGAUUAAAUAGUAGAUAAAUGGAUCAAAAUUUCACGAAAGGGAAGAAACCGAAAAACUAAAAACAAAAGACGAAGAAAAAAAAAAUCGAUGUAAAACUAAGAUAAACCACAAACCCUAACUACAAUAAUGUUGCAGAUUGUUCGAGGCCGUUUGCAGAAUCAAAACUCUGCAAGGCACGGAGAACUGCAAUCGUUUUACUAUCGCCAACCUUCAAUGCAAAAAUUACGUUAUCAAAUAACACGCUUUUGCUCUGCAAAUUGGCUACUGUGGUCUAAUCUAUACAAAACAAAUCCAAAAAAAUCCAACGAUCAUCAUGUCGCAGUUUGUUCGAGGCCGUUUACAGAAUCAAAACUCGGCAAGGCACGGAGAACUGCAAAAAAAAAUUACUAUUGCCAACCUUCAACGCAAAAUUACAUCAUCAAACAACACGCUUUUGCUCUGCAAAUUGGCUUCUAUGAUCUAAUUAAUCUCUAAAUGGCUACAUCUCCAAAACAACAUAGAAAACGAGAAAAAACCUAACGAAGAACUGAUAAAGAGAAGAAACCAGCGAAGAAGCAC
rnacentral:lncRNA from 1 species